UACGUAGGGCGCGAGCGUUGUCCGGAAUUAUUGGGCGUAAAGAGCUCGUAGGCGGCCUGUUGCGUCCGCUGUGAAAUCCCAGGGCUCAACCCUGGGCGUGCAGUGGAUACGGGCAGGCUGGAGUGUGGUAGGGGAGACUGGAAUUCCUGGUGUAGCGGUGAAAUGCGCAGAUAUCAGGAGGAACACCGAUGGCGAAGGCAGGUCUCUGGGCCACUACUGACGCUGAGAAGCGAAAGCAUGGGGAGCGAACAGG
rnacentral:rRNA from 1 species